rnacentral:rRNA from 1 species
UACGUAGGGUGCGAGCGUUGUCCGGAAUUAUUGGGCGUAAAGAGCUCGUAGGCGGUGUGUCACGUCGGCCGUGAAAACCUGCAGCUUAACUGUGGGCGUGCGGUCGAUACGGGCAUCACUGGAGUUCGGCAGGGGAGACUGGAAUUCUGGUGUAGCGGUGAAAUGCGCAGAUAUCAGGAGGAACACCGGUGGCGAAGGCGGGUCUCUGGGCCGAUACUGACGCUGGAGGAGCGAAAGCAUGGGGAGCGAACAGG